UUUUUCUAUUACGUGCCUGGGCACGAUCUGAUCUUAGCCGGUGCCCCCACUUUUCCUCCGUCCGAUCAAAUCGAUCACGUGAUACAGCCCACCUAGCUCUAUUUCCGUGACGUGGCUCUGUCGAUGGGAGACAGCAGAGGUUGGUCCCAACCAAGCGAGCCUUAUCUUCUCCACGGGAUUUUCCCCUUCUUCCAUCUCACGGAGAACUGCUGCCAUGGUUCUCUCGGCCGCCGCCGGUCGCCACCUCCCCAAUUGGUGUCGCUGGGCGCUACCUCCUGCACCACGCGGUGGUUCCCGACGACAUCCUCCUCCUCCUCAUAUCCGCCCACCUCAGCCCCUAUAAUCUACUCACCGGAAAGGGCCUCCCCAUGGCCGGGCGUCGUGGACGGCGUCGGCAGCGUCCGCCCGAGCCCCGCCAUGGCCGUGUGGCCAAGCACGGACUCGGCCCACGCGCGCAACCCCGAGCCUCCCCGAGCCUCCCCUAGCCCCAGAGUCCCUUUACCUGGCCACGGUACCGCUUCGCCGUUGUUCACCAUCUCAGACCUGAGGUCCGACGAACCCAGCGGCCGGCGUGAUUAACGUUAUUUUUGGAGCUGAGAUGUACUUUUUGUUCUCUUUUUACAUCUAGAAUAAUAGCAUCGGUCUGGAGCACCUUGAUCCGUCGGAAGAUGCCGCGCUGGUCGGAGGAUCUGCCUUGGUUCUUCGCGCGCGGAAGAGCCACCACGACAUGCCGUUCCGUAGUCUUUCCCCGCGCGCGAAUGCGCAGCAGCAUCAUCGACCGUCGCCCCUCCUUGCGUCUGGCUCCAGAUUGAAAGCAGCAGCGCUGCAGCCAUGACCGUGCGCGCGCAAGCAGGCAACUUUUUCCACUCGUGUAUGUGGCGUCCUCUCCCCCUCUUGUCUUUCCUGGCUGUUCUGUUACUGUUCAUGCACAUGCUACUUGGUACUAUUUGAUGUUGAUCUGCUCUAUUACAAAGUGAUGAUGUAGUUUUUCACCUCCAGAUUAAUAGAGGAUCUAGAUUAUGUUCGCUA